UACGGAGGAUGCAAGCGUUAUCCGGAAUGAUUGGGCGUAAAGCGUCCGCAGGUGGCUAUGUAAGUCUGCUGUUAAAGAGCAAGGCUCAACCUUGUAAAGGCAGUGGAAACUACAUGGCUAGAGUGCGUUCGGGGCAGAGGGAAUUCCUGGUGUAGCGGUGAAAUGCGUAGGAGAUCAGGAAGAACACCGGUGGCGAAAGCGCUCUGCUAGGCCGCAACUGACACUGAGGGACGAAAGCCAGGGGAGCAAACGGG
rnacentral:rRNA from 1 species